rnacentral:tRNA from 1 species
GCGAGGAUGGCGGAAUUGGUAGACGCGCACGUUUGAGGUGCGUGUGAUUUCAUCAUGUGGGUUCAAGUCCCAUUCCUCGCACCA